GGGAGCCGGAUGCCAUGAAAGUGGCAUGUCCGGAUCUAACUCAGAGGUGCGGGAGAUAAUACUCCCCAUCGACUCAAC
rnacentral:ncRNA from 1 species